rnacentral:rRNA from 1 species
GGGUUGUGAGGUUAAGCGACUAAGCGUACACGGUGGAUGCCCUGGCAGUCAGAGGCGAUGAAGGACGUGCUAAUCUGCGAUAAGCGCCGGUAAGGUGAUAUGAACCGUUAUAACCGGCGAUUUCCGAAUGGGGAAACCCAGUGUGAUUCGUCACACUAUCAUUAACUGAAUCCAUAGGUUAAUGAGGCGAACCGGGGGAACUGAAACAUCUAAGUACCCCGAGGAAAAGAAAUCAACCGAGAUUCCCCCAGUAGCGGCGAGCGAACGGGGAGGAGCCCAGAGCCUGAAUCAGCAUGUGUGUUAGUGGAAGCGUCUGGAAAGGCGCGCGAUACAGGGUGACAGCCCCGUACACAAAAGCGCAUGUGCUGUGAGCUCGAUGAGUAGGGCGGGACACGUGGUAUCCUGUCUGAAUAUGGGGGGACCAUCCUCCAAGGCUAAAUACUCCUGACUGACCGAUAGUGAACCAGUACCGUGAGGGAAAGGCGAAAAGAACCCCGGCGAGGGGAGUGAAAAAGAACCUGAAACCGUGUACGUACAAGCAGUGGGAGCCCCACCACUAAGCCAGUGGUGAACUCUACAUACGCAUCCUUUGCUGAGGAUACGGUUAACGGAGCGAAAGCGACGUUCAACCUCAAAAGAAGCAGAGGGGGCUUAGUGGUGGGGUGACUGCGUACCUUUUGUAUAAUGGGUCAGCGACUUAUAUUCUGUAGCAAGGUUAACCGUAUAGGGGAGCCGUAGGGAAACCGAGUCUUAACCGGGCGUUAAGUUGCAGGGUAUAGACCCGAAACCCGGUGAUCUAGCCAUGGGCAGGUUGAAGGUUGGGUAACACUAACUGGAGGACCGAACCGACUAAUGUUGAAAAAUUAGCGGAUGACCUGUGGCUGGGGGUGAAAGGCCAAUCAAACCGGGAGAUAGCUGGUUCUCCCCGAAAGCUAUUUAGGUAGCGCCUCGUGAAUUCAUCUCCGGGGGUAGAGCACUGUUUCGGCUAGGGGGCCAUCCCGGCUUACCAACCCGAUGCAAACUGCGAAUACCGGAGAAUGUUAUCACGGGAGACACACGGCGGGUGCUAACGUCCGUCGUGAAGAGGGAAACAACCCAGACCGCCAGCUAAGGUCCCAAAGUCAUGGUUAAGUGGGAAACGAUGUGGGAAGGCCCAGACAGCCAGGAUGUUGGCUUAGAAGCAGCCAUCAUUUAAAGAAAGCGUAAUAGCUCACUGGUCGAGUCGGCCUGCGCGGAAGAUGUAACGGGGCUAAACCAUGCACCGAAGCUGCGGCAGCGACACUGUGUGUUGUUGGGUAGGGGAGCGUUCUGUAAGCCUGUGAAGGUGUGUCGUGAGGCAUGCUGGAGGUAUCAGAAGUGCGAAUGCUGACAUAAGUAACGAUAAAGCGGGUGAAAAGCCCGCUCGCCGGAAGACCAAGGGUUCCUGUCCAACGUUAAUCGGGGCAGGGUGAGUCGACCCCUAAGGCGAGGCCGAAAGGCGUAGUCGAUGGGAAACGGGUUAAUAUUCCCGUACUUGGUGUUACUGCGAAGGGGGGACGGAGAAGGCUAUGUUGGCCGGGCGACGGUUGUCCCGGUUUAAGCGUGUAGGUGUGUGUUCCAGGUAAAUCCGGUUCACUUUAACACUGAGGCGUGACGACGAGGCACUACGGUGCUGAAGCAACAAAUGCCCUGCUUCCAGGAAAAGCCUCUAAGCAUCAGGUAACAUCAAAUCGUACCCCAAACCGACACAGGUGGUCAGGUAGAGAAUACCAAGGCGCUUGAGAGAACUCGGGUGAAGGAACUAGGCAAAAUGGUGCCGUAACUUCGGGAGAAGGCACGCUGACACGUAGGUGAAGUGAUUUACUCAUGGAGCUGAAGUCAGUCGAAGAUACCAGCUGGCUGCAACUGUUUAUUAAAAACACAGCACUGUGCAAACACGAAAGUGGACGUAUACGGUGUGACGCCUGCCCGGUGCCGGAAGGUUAAUUGAUGGGGUCAGCGCAAGCGAAGCUCCUGAUCGAAGCCCCGGUAAACGGCGGCCGUAACUAUAACGGUCCUAAGGUAGCGAAAUUCCUUGUCGGGUAAGUUCCGACCUGCACGAAUGGCGUAAUGAUGGCCAGGCUGUCUCCACCCGAGACUCAGUGAAAUUGAACUCGCUGUGAAGAUGCAGUGUACCCGCGGCAAGACGGAAAGACCCCGUGAACCUUUACUAUAGCUUGACACUGAACAUUGAGCCUUGAUGUGUAGGAUAGGUGGGAGGCUUUGAAGUGUGGACGCCAGUCUGCAUGGAGCCGACCUUGAAAUACCACCCUUUAAUGUUUGAUGUUCUAACGUGGACCCGUUACCCGGGUUGCGGACAGUGUCUGGUGGGUAGUUUGACUGGGGCGGUCUCCUCCUAAAGAGUAACGGAGGAGCACGAAGGUUGGCUAAUCCUGGUCGGACAUCAGGAGGUUAGUGCAAUGGCAUAAGCCAGCUUGACUGCGAGCGUGACGGCGCGAGCAGGUGCGAAAGCAGGUCAUAGUGAUCCGGUGGUUCUGAAUGGAAGGGCCAUCGCUCAACGGAUAAAAGGUACUCCGGGGAUAACAGGCUGAUACCGCCCAAGAGUUCAUAUCGACGGCGGUGUUUGGCACCUCGAUGUCGGCUCAUCACAUCCUGGGGCUGAAGUAGGUCCCAAGGGUAUGGCUGUUCGCCAUUUAAAGUGGUACGCGAGCUGGGUUUAGAACGUCGUGAGACAGUUCGGUCCCUAUCUGCCGUGGGCGCUGGAGAACUGAGGGGGGCUGCUCCUAGUACGAGAGGACCGGAGUGGACGCAUCACUGGUGUUCGGGUUGUCAUGCCAAUGGCACUGCCCGGUAGCUAAAUGCGGAAGAGAUAAGUGCUGAAAGCAUCUAAGCACGAAACUUGCCCCGAGAUGAGUUCUCCCUGAGACUUUAGGUCUCCUGAAGGAACGUUGAAGACGACGACGUUGAUAGGCCGGGUGUGUAAGCGCAGCGAUGCGUUGAGCUAACCGGUACUAAUGAACCGUGAGGCUUAACCUUACAACGCCGAAG